UGAGCAAUCUGUGAGAGAUUUAUCUCCAGGCUGGACUGUCCUCCAGCUGUGAGUGACAGUCAAAGAACCGUCCGUGCCGGGCCUGAGAAGAUGGAUCCCCCAUCAGAAAGUGCUGGAGGUGAAGAACUGGAGACAGCAAGGCACUAAAGAAGAACACAUUAUGAUCCAAAUCAAGUCUGAAACCUCUUUCAGUUGAUGGCCUCAUCUGUCAGUAACUCAAAUGCUGCCGCUGCCGUGACACUGCCAUCCCCCUAGGAAGCCCAAGUGAGACCCGUGGAGGGGAACUAAGGAGUUCUGAUCGAAAGUCCAGCCUCCUGCCAAUCCCCCAGCUGCAUGCAGACCACAAGUGAAAUCAGUUGUUGCAGGAUUCAGUCUCCUGGUUCCAGAUGCAGCUGGUAGAGAUGUGUCAAUGGUAAAGAUGGACUGGAUGGGGCAUGAGCUGUGAAGCUAUUCCCUCCUGGGCUCAAAUCCCAGUACAUUCAUAUUCACUCACUGUAUGUGGAACCUCGGUCAAGACACUUCGCUGACCCUUCGCGUUGCUUUCUACAAAGAGCAGUGAUGACCAGGGUACGGCAGGGAUGACUACUACGAGCUUCUGCAGCACACCCCUAACAGUGCCUGCAUUGUGGUAUGUGAAAACUUAGGGUUCCUCCCCCCAUUCCCGACGCUCUCUCAAGAAGGCCAGUUGUCUGAAGGGAAAUUA